rnacentral:rRNA from 1 species
GAUGAACGCUGGCGGCGUGCCUAAUACAUGCAAGUCGAGCGAACAGACGAGGAGCUUGCUCCUCUGACGUUAGCGGCGGACGGGUGAGUAACACGUGGAUAACCUACCUAUAAGACUGGGAUAACUUCGGGAAACCGGAGCUAAUACCGGAUAAUAUAUUGAACCGCAUGGUUCAAUAGUGAAAGACGGUUUUGCUGUCACUUAUAGAUGGAUCCGCGCCGCAUUAGCUAGUUGGUAAGGUAACGGCUUACCAAGGCAACGAUGCGUAGCCGACCUGAGAGGGUGAUCGGCGACACUGGAACUGAGACACGGUCCAGACUCCUACGGGAGUCACCGGGGGGGAAUCUUCGGCAAUGGGCGAAAGCCUGACGGAGCAACGCCGCGUGAGGUAUGAAGGUCUUCGGAUCUUAAAACUCGGUUAGUGGGGCAGAACAAAUGCGUAAGUACCUGGGCACAUAUUGACGGUCCCUAGUCAUAAAGCCACGGCUAACUACCUG